rnacentral:tRNA from 1 species
GCCGAGGUGGCGGAAUUGGUAGACGCGCUAGGUUCAGGGCCUAGUCCCAUAUAAAAUGGGGUCAGGGUUCAAAUCCCUGCCUCGGCACAA